GAUAAUGUUUGUUAGCUUGUUUGAUGUCAGUGCAAGUUGUGGAGAAGUCACUUUUCAAUCUGUCUGACAAUCCCACCAUAGGGAAAGGCAGAUCAAUGAAUCAAACCAGCCAAGUGAAUGCCAAAAGCCUUGAAGCAUUGCCAUCAUAAGGUAUAGAUUUUGACUUACAGCAACUGUGAGUUGUACAAAUGGAGGGAAUGUAAAGCUAUCUCAGCUGGGAUGGAAGAAGAGAGAGUGAACAUGUCAAAUUGCAUUGGAGUCCUUGAACUGAGAAGAGGGAUGUCCUAAUAGAACAGCAGUUCCUGAUUGCUGCUCAGUGACUCCUGCUGAAAAGCAC